GCUGGCGGCGCGCUUAACACAUGCAAGUCGAACGAGAAAGUGGAGCAAUCCAUGAGUAAAGUGGCGUACGGGUGAGUAACACGUGGGUAAUCUACCUCUUGGUGGGGAAUAACCCUGGGAAACCGGGGCUAAUACCGCAUAAGCUCGGAAGAGGAAGCCCGAAAGGGGCCGAGAGAGGAGCCCGCGGUCGAUUAGCUAGUUGGUGAGGUAAGAGCUCACCAAGGCGAUGAUCGAUAGCCGGCCUGAGAGGGCACACGGCCACACUGGCACUGAAACACGGGCCAGACUCCUACGGGAGGCAGCAGUGGGGAAUCUUGCACAAUGGGGGCAACCCUGAUGCAGCGACGCCGCGUGAGCGAUGAAGCCCUUCGGGGUGUAAAGCUCUUUCGGCCGGAACGAUAAUGACGGUACCGGCAGAAGAAGCUG
rnacentral:rRNA from 1 species